AGCGAACGCUGGCGGCAGGCUUAACACAUGCAAGUCGAACGGGCACUUCGGUGUCAGUGGCAGACGGGUGAGUAACACGUGGGAACGUACCUUUUGGUUCGGAACAACUGAGGGAAACUUCAGCUCAUCCCGGAUAAGCCCUUACGGGGAAAGAUUUAUCGCCGAAAGAUCGGCCCACGGCUGAUUAGCCAGUUGGUAGGGUAAUGGCCUACCAAGGCGACGAUCAGUAGCUGGUCUGAGAGGAUGAUCAGCCACAUUGGGACUGAGACACGGCCCAAACUCCUACGGGAGGCAGCAGUGGGGAAUAUUGGACAAUGGGGGCAACCCUGAUCCAGCCAUGCCGCGUGAGUGAUGAAGGCCCUAGGGUUGUAAAGCUCUUUUGUGCGGGAAGAUAAUGACGGUACCGCAAGAAUAAGCCCCGGCUAACUUCGUGCCAGCCGCCGCCGUAA
rnacentral:rRNA from 1 species